AAAUGUAUUAAGAGGAGAGUUUUCAAUGUUGAGUGUUAAUCGUUAGAAUAAUCCAGAUUAUAUUAGUUUUUGAUUAUUUAUUAUAUUGUGUUUGGUAUUUUUUAUUACUCAAUAACAGAUGGAAGAAGAUUCUGUGAGUUGUAAUGUCGGUACAACCCAAGGAGUUGGUGGUGACUCCUCAUCUAUUCCAGUGGAUGUGG